rnacentral:snRNA from 1 species
AUGCUCACUUUGGUAGCACAUAUUCUAAAAUUGGAAUGAUACAGAAAAGAUUAGCAUGGCUCCUGUGCAAGGAUGACGUGCAAACUCGUGAAGUGUUCCAUAUUUUU